ACGAACGCUGGCGGCGUGCUUAACACAUGCAAGUCGAACGGAAAGGCCCUGCUUUUGUGGGGUGCUCGAGUGGCGAACGGGUGAGUAACACGUGAGUAACCUGCCCUUGACUUUGGGAUAACUUCAGGAAACUGGGGCUAAUACCGGAUAGGAGCUCCUGCUGCCUGGUGGGGGUUGGAAAGUUUCGGCGGUUGGGGAUGGACGCGCGGCUUAUCAGCUUGUUGGUGGGGUAGUGGCUUACCAAGGCUUUGACGGGUAGCCGGCCUGAGAGGGUGACCGGCCACAUUGGGACUGAGAUACGGCCCAGACUCCUACGGGAGGCAGCAGUGGGGAAUAUUGCACAAUGGGCGGAAGCCUGAUGCAGCAACGCCGCGUGCGGGAUGACGGCCUUCGGGUUGUAAACCGCUUUCGCCUGUGACGAAGCGUGAGUGACGGUAAUGGGUAAAGAAGCACCGGCUAACUACGUG
rnacentral:rRNA from 1 species